rnacentral:lncRNA from 1 species
AUGUCAAUAAUAUCCUUCAAUAAUAUUGAUGGAAGGAUAUUAAUGUAGAAGGAAAGAAAAAGUAAGAUUAAAAAUGUCACUUAAUUUUAUUAAAGGAGUAUUUUGAAAUAUUUUUUAAAAUAUAAAAAUAAAUCAAUACUUAAAUUAAAAUAGAAAGAAUAAAGGAGCAAUUUAACUGUUGUUGACAGUAAAAUUCACGCAAGGGUUGGGCUUUGGCCGCUUGGCGUGCUACAAGAACGUGAAACCCCCAACACGGACUGUAUGUAGGUAAAUGCCACGGCUCCAUGGCUCCAUGUCCACAAUGUCAUCAUCACAUUUAUUUGGUAGCUUAGUGUAAAUGCUAACUAUAUGUUACAUCAAUUAAAUUGAGCAAUAAUAUGUAUAUGCGGAUGACCGAUUGAAUUCACAUGAAGAUCCUUCUCAAAUCAAUAUCAUUCAUGCACAUACGACAGAAAUCAAUAUCGUAAUUUGUCAUGCAAAUGUGGAAAUGAUCAAGACCAUCAUGACAUAUAUAAAAGAUAAUUAUGAAGAUUGUCACGUGGUGAAAUUCUAUAAUAUAUCAGAGGUACCACUUCAACUGUAUAAUAAAUAAAUAAUAUUAUGUCAUGUGUUUAUUUAUUUUAAAAAAUUAACUAUAAGUGAUAGUUAUAUUAAAUUCAACUAACUACACAUGUCAUACACAUAUAAUAAUCCAUUGUGUCAUAUGUGAUGUAUCAUAGACUUUUGAUGUCGUGUGAUGUAAAUACGACAAGAAUUAGGUAUAUCAUGACAUGCCAAUUAGCAAAAAUCCCUACCAUAUAUAUCAUAUAGGAAAGAAUCAUUAUCGUUACGUGCAUAUUAAAUCUGAAAAUGAAUCCAAAAUAUGGAAUUAAGUUUUGUCCGUCGUGUAAAUAGCACUUGAAUAAGAUCUGGCGAGCUUAUAUUUUCUAUAUAAUUCUAAAUUCAUGGGCUAUAAUCAAUACUAGGCGCGCAUUUUUGGACCUUCACGCUAGUGCUGCCAUUAGAGGUUGAAUUUAUCGUGGAAAAGUUAAGUCCUGCUUUCAUUUAGUUUAGUUUAUUUAUUUGAUUUCCCAAUAAAACCGAAAACUCCUUUAUUGAAUAUGAAAAAAAAAGGAUAUAUUUACGAGAAGAGAAAUGACAAUCAGCUUCAAGGCUGAGAGACUGAUUAAAAUUUUUCUUACGAGAAUGGUAAAAAAAUUAGUUCAAUUUAAAAUAAUAAUAAUAAUCCAACUUUUUUCUUCUUACUUGUUUUGGGAGAUUGACGCUUCCCCUAGAUUAUUUAAUACUAUAUACCCUGUAGAAUUUUCAUAAUACUCUUAUUAAUUUUAGAUCCAUAUAUUUAGAUCGCGUCAUUCAAAAAUUG